rnacentral:rRNA from 1 species
GACGAACGCUGGCGGCGUGCUUAACACAUGCAAGUCGAACGAAUUGGGAUCGGGUGAGUAAUACGUGGGUAACCUCCCUCCUUUUUGGGAUAAGCCUUGGAAACGGGGUCUAAACCCAAUAGAUGGGCUCGCGGCCUAUCAGCUUGUGGGGGGGGUGAUGGCCUACCAAGGCGGUGACGUGUAGCCGGACUGAGAGGGUGAACGGCAACAUUGGGACUGAGAUACGGACCAGACUCCUACGGGAGGCAGCAGUGGGGAAUCGUCCGCAAUGGACGAAAGUCUGACGGAGCAACGCCGCGUGAGUGAUGACGGCCUUCGGGUUGUAAAGCUCUGUUAAUCGGGACGCGGUACCGGAAUAGAAAGCCACGGCUAACUACGUGCCAGCAGCCGCGGUAAUUC